rnacentral:rRNA from 1 species
CGCAAGCCUGACGGAGCUACACCGCGUGAGGGAAGACGGCCUUUGGGCUGUAAACCUCUUUUCUCAGGGAAGAAGGACUGACGGUACCUGAGGAAUCAGCCUCGGCUAACUCCGUGCCAGCAGCCGCGGUAAUACGGAGGAGGCAAGCGUUAUUCGGAAUUAUUGGGCGUAAAGCGUCCGCAGGGGGCUCAUCAAGUCUGCUGUCAAAGGUCGGAGCUCAACUCCGGUUCGGCAGUGGAAACUGGUGGGCUAGAGGGCGACAGGGGUAGAGGGAAUUCCCAGUGUAGCGGUGAAAUGCGUAGAGAUUGGGAAGAACACCGGUGGCGAAAGCGCUCUACUGGGUCGCACCUGACCCUCAGGGACGAAAGCUAAGGUAGCG